AUGACUCAGUUUCUUCAUUUCUUCCAAAGACCCAGCAAACAAACAAAACAAAAAAAAAAGGUGGAGCUAAGGAAUGGAAGCUGUUGUAGAUGAUAGGAAAGGUUGAGAUAUUGUGGAAGUCCUUAUUCUGGUAGGGAUAUAGACCUUGGCAUCAGAAUCACUUGAGUUCAAGCCCUGACUCCUCCAGGAUUGACUAUUGGGCAU
rnacentral:lncRNA from 10 species